rnacentral:lncRNA from 1 species
GGGAGGGACCGGUCCCAUCAGGCUGGGCUGCGGGGGUCUCUGAUGAGACCGGUCCCUGGUAGUGAGGGACCGGUUCCCGAACGUUGGCCCAGCGAGAUUAGCCGAAAUUUGGCUAAGUCCCGAGAAUUUAGCUCUCGGGGACCGAUCUCUCGGUCACGGACCGGUCUCCCGGGGACCGGUCUCUCAGGCAAGGACCGGUUCCCGAACGCGAAAUUCUUCUGCCCGAGAUGGAGAGCUCUCGGGGACCGGUCUCCCCGACCUGGGACCGGUCCCUCGCUGCGAAAACAGCCCAGUGAGGGCUGUGUAUUAGAUGGAAAGUUGAGGGGCCUAUUUGUAAAAUGGCCUUUAUUAGAGGUG